UCAAGAAUACGCUCUCUUUAUUUUUCUUUUACUCACAGAAGUAGAACUAUGAGGCUCUCAACGUGGCGGUUGAAAGAAACUGAAAGGGGAGCUUUGGCGCCAAGGUAUUUAUAGGAUGGGAGAUGGGCCUUAUUCUAGUGUGUUUUUCUCCUACUGCAGAAGGUUUAGAACUUUCCGAUGAGGCUCCGCGCAGGUGUGGAUCACCCAGGGUGUGAUUCAUAGAGGCCAUGAAGAAGAACAUACUAUUUCAAACAAAAUGGCACCAAUUUUCCAGGAAUUAAUGGAAAUACCAGCAGAAGAUAAAGGUUGAAGAAGAUACAUUCCCUCUUGAAGAGCAACUACUGAGCAGCAACAAUAAUGGAAACUGACACUUUCACAAACAAUGGCAGUGACACACAAUCUAUGUGGAAGACAAUGACAAAGUACCGAGAUCAAUCCUGGACUGCAUGUUAAAGCCUCACUAUGAAGGACUAUUCUCUGCUAUUACUUCAAGCUGGAACAAAAGAC